rnacentral:ncRNA from 1 species
AACAAAGGGGUGCUGACGGCAGUCGGCUGAGAUCAUACCCUCAAACCUGAUCCCGAUAAUGCGGGCGUAGGAAAACAGCCUCUG